CCUACGGGCGGCAGCAGUGGGGAAUAUUGGACAAUGGGGGAAACCCUGAUCCAGCGACGCCGCGUGAGGGAAGAAGUAUUUCGGUACGUAAAGCUCUAUCAGCAGGAAAGAAAAUGACGGUACCUGACUCAGAAGCCCCGGCUAACUAAGAGCCAGCAGCCGCGGUAACACGUAGGGGGCCAGCGUUAUCCGGAUUUACUGGGUGUAAAGGGGGCGUAGACGGCAGCGCAAGUCUGGAGGGAAAUGCCGGGGCCCAACCCCGGAACUGCCGUGGAAACUGUGAAGCUGGAGUGCAGGAGAGGUAAGCGGAAUGCCUGGUGUAGCGGUGAAAUGCGUAGAUAUCAGGAAGAACUCCGGCGGCGAAGGCGGCUUACUGGACUGUAACUGACGUUGAGGCUCGAAGGCGUGGGGAGCGAACAGGAUUAGAUACCCGUGUAGUC
rnacentral:rRNA from 1 species